GACAGAGGGUGCGAACGUUGCUCGGAAUUACUGGGCGUAAAGCGCGUGUAGGCGGGUCGGAAAGUCAGGUGUGAAAUCCCCAAGCUCAACUUGGGAACUGCACCUGAAACUAUCGAUCUAGAGUGUCGGAGAGGGAAGCGGAAUUCCUGGUGGAGAGGUGAAAUUCGUAGAUAUCAGGAGGAACACCGGUGGCGAAGGCGGCUUCCUGGACGACCACUGACGCUGAGACGCGAAAGCGUGGGGAGCAAACAGG
rnacentral:rRNA from 1 species